UCGGCUGCCCCUUGAUCCAGCAAUCCGACCUCGGGUCGGAUAUCUUCGGCUCCGCAGCCCGACCCCGAGUNNNNNNNNNNNNNAUCCAGCAAUCCGACCUCGGGUCGGAUAUCUUCGGCUCCGCAGCCCGACCCCGAGUCGGCCGCCCCUUGAUCCAGCAAUCCGACCCCGAGUCGGCAAUCUCUCGACAACAACAGACUGUUCCUCUGAGGCACGCCGCGGCCCCCUGCUCCACUACUCCCUGCAACGGCCGUAUCCGGCGCUGCCCCACGAUCCCCUGUAACAGCCGUACAAAGCGGAGCUCCACUAUGCCCUGCCAUGGCUGUACCCAGCGCUGCCCCACGACGCCCUGUAACGGCCAUGUCAGUGGCAGCCCCAUCGUGCCACACGAUGACGAAUCCCCGGAAAAACCCCCCAG
rnacentral:lncRNA from 1 species